rnacentral:misc_RNA from 1 species
GUCGAACUGUCCAAACGUUAUUCGGAAUCACUGGGCUUAAAGGGUGCGUAGGCGGCGCGGCAAGUUGGGUGUGAAAUCCCUCGGCGCAACCGAGGAACUGCGCCCAAACCUGCUGUGCUCGAGGGAGAUAGAGGUGAGCGGAACUUAGGGUGGAGCGGUGAAAUGCGUUGAUAUCCUAAGGAACACCGGUGGCGAAAGCGGCUCACCGGAUCUCUUCUGACGCUGAGGCACGAAAGCUAGGGUAGCGAACGGG